rnacentral:miRNA from 1 species
GAGAGAGAGAUAGAGAGAAAAAAAAAAGGUAACAGCAAGGGAGAAGUGGUGGUCAUCCCAUACUCACGUGUUUGUGCCUUGCGUCUAGUGAUUGUUGUUCAUUUCUUUCUUUCUCUUUGUUCUCGCUC